rnacentral:rRNA from 1 species
UAAGGAAUAUUGGUCAAUGGGCGGAAGCCUGAACCAGCCAUGCCGCGUGCAGGAAGACGGCCCUACGGGUUGUAAACUGCUUUUGCAGGGGAAUAAACCUCCAUUCGUGAAUGGAGUUGAAUGUACUCUGAGAAUAAGGAUCGGCUAACUCCGUGCCAGCAGCCGCGGUAAUACGGAGGAUCCGAGCGUUAUCCGGAUUUAUUGGGUUUAAAGGGUGCGUAGGCGGCCUAUUAAGUCAGGGGUGAAAGACGGUAGCUUAACUAUCGCAGUGCCUUUGAUACUGAUGGGCUUGAAUGUAGUUGAGGUAGGCGGAAUGUGACAAGUAGCGGUGAAAUGCAUAGAUAUGUCACAGAACACCAAUUGCGAAGGCAGCUUACUAAAGUAUGAUUGACGCUGAGGCACGAAAGCGUGGGGAUCAAACAGGAUUAGAUACCCCCGUAGUCC